rnacentral:antisense_RNA from 1 species
AUCAAUGGCGAGCCUUGGCUAAGGGGACACCUUCGGGUGUGCCGGUUUCCACAGACGCCGGUCCGCGAACCCCAAAGCCUUGCGCUCGCCACCAUC